rnacentral:rRNA from 1 species
UACAGAGGGGGCAAGCGUUGUUCGGAAUUACUGGGCGUAAAGGGCGCGUAGGCGGCCCGCUAAGUCAAACGUGAAAUCCCCGAGCUCAACUCGGGAACUGCGUCCGAUACUGGCGGGCUUGAAUCCGGGAGAGGGAUGCGGAAUUCCAGGUGUAGCGGUGAAAUGCGUAGAUAUCUGGAGGAACACCGGUGGCGAAGGCGGCAUCCUGGACCGGCAUUGACGCUGAGGCGCGAAAGCUAGGGGAGCAAACGGG